rnacentral:rRNA from 1 species
UACAGAGGUCCCAAGCGUUGUUCGGAUUCAUUGGGCGUAAAGGGCGCGUAGGCGGCCUUCUAAGUCGAACGUGAAAUCCCCGGGCUCAACCCGGGAACUGCGUCCGAUACUGGAAGGCUUGAAUCCGGGAGAGGGAUGCGGAAUUCCAGGUGUAGCGGUGAAAUGCGUAGAUAUCUGGAGGAACACCGGUGGCGAAGGCGGCAUCCUGGACCGGCAUUGACGCUGAGGCGCGAAAGCCAGGGGAGCAAACGGG